rnacentral:rRNA from 1 species
GAACUGCGCGAACGUUAUUCGGAAUCACUGGGCUUAAAGAGUCCGUAGGCGGCCUGGCAGGUGGGGUGUGAAAGCCCACGGCUCAACCGUGGAAUUGCGCUCCAAACCGUCCGGCUCGAGGGAGAUAGAGGUGAGCGGAACUGAUGGUGGAGCGGUGAAAUGCGUUGAUAUCAUCAGGAACACCGGUGGCGAAAGCGGCUCACUGGGUCUCCUCUGACGCUGAGGGACGAAAGCUAGGGGAGCGAACGGGGGAUUAGAUACCCCGGUAGUCCUAGCUGUAAACGAUGAGCACUAGAUCGAGGGGACUCCCCACAUCCCCCCCCCCCUGGUCGUAGCGAAAGUGUUAAGUGCUCCGCCUGGGGAGUAUGGUCGCAAGGCUG